rnacentral:rRNA from 1 species
UACAGAGGUCUCAAGCGUUGUUCGGAUUCAUUGGGCGUAAAGGGUGCGUAGGCGGCGCGGUAAGUCGGGUGUGAAAUCUCGGGGCUUAACUCCGAAACUGCAUUCGAUACUGCCGUGCUUGAGGACUGGAGAGGAGACUGGAAUUUACGGUGUAGCGGUGAAAUGCGUAGAUAUCGUAAGGAAGACCAGUGGCGAAGGCGGGUCUCUGGACAGCUCCUGACGCUGAGGCACGAAGGCCAGGGGAGCAAACGGG